AGUUGAUCAACGUCCCGUUAUGCGGGGGUGAUGCUACAGUUACCGCUCAUGCAUACCGUUUUCUCUUCCCGCUUGAUGUGGCAUGUGUUUUAUUAAUUAAAAAAGAAAAACAAAAGCAAAACGUCUCCCGCCCAACGUCUCCCCUCCCCCCCAAACCCCCAAUUUCCUCUUUAGAAGUCGAACCCCCAAUAAGCUGCUUUCAUUUCCUCCGACUCCUCCGUCAGACCUCCACCGGCAUCCAGUCCGUGCGGCAAGAGAUCCAUUUCAAUUAGUGAAACGACGAUAGUUAAGAAGAUAAAAUUUCAAUUCGUGAAAUUCAUAGCAUCCGCGUUCCUCAAGGUCGCGUUCCUCUGUCAGACCUCCACCGCACGCUGCAGUCGAAGCUAUUUCGUUAGCAGGUUAGCUUUCCACUUCCACGUGUUUCAGGUUAGCAACUUUUUUUUUUUUUAAACUUAUGUGUGGAAGAUCCGGAGAAGGAUUAAAGUGGCAGAGGCCAGCUUCUUGUUCCUCCCUCCCUCUAUCAUCAGCUGACCAACUCUUUUGUGGCCUUUCCUUUGUAGAAUAGGACAAAUUGAACUCAUACAGCCAGUUCAAUGCGUGCAGAUGCUUAACUUUUCGAUAAAACAUCGGAUAUUUUAAAGCUUGAUGUAUUGAAAAUCAUGCGUGCUUUUGCAGUAUUUUACGGUAUUUAUAUUAGUGUGUAAGAUCGUUAAAAAAAUCAUUCUAAUCAUUGUAGUUUUUCUUAUUGUUUCCCCAGGGUUGAUUAUUGUAUUUGGUUACUCUCAAUGAUUUUUCUAGAAAAUUCUAUAUCGUUUAUAUGCCA